rnacentral:rRNA from 1 species
AAGACGGUCUUGCUGUCACUUAUAGAUGGAUCCGCGCUGCAUUAGCUAGUUGGUAAGGUAACGGCUUACCAAGGCAACGAUGCAUAGCCGACCUGAGAGGGUGAUCGGCCACACUGGAACUGAGACACGGUCCAGACUCCUACGGGAGGCAGCAGUAGGGAAUCUUCCGCAAUGGGCGAAAGCCUGACGGAGCAACGCCGCGUGAGUGAUGAAGGUCUUCGGAUCGUAAAACUCUGUUAUUAGGGAAGAACAUAUGUGUAAGUAACUGUGCACAUCUUGACGGUACCUAAUCAGAAAGCCACGGCUAACUACGUGCCAGCAGCCGCGGUAAUACGUAGGUGGCAAGCGUUAUCCGGAAUUAUUGGGCGUAAAGCGCGCGUAGGCGGUUUUUUAAGUCUGAUGUGAAAGCCCACGGCUCAACCGUGGAGGGUCAUUGGAAACUGGAAAACUUGAGUGCAGAAGAGGAAAGUGGAAUUCCAUGUGUAGCGGUGAAAUGCGCAGAGAUAUGGAGGAACACCAGUGGCGAAGGCGACUUUCUGGUCUGUAACUGACGCUGAUGUGCGAAAGCGUGGGGAUCAAACAGGAUUAGAUACCCUGGUAGUCCACGCCGUAAACGAUGAGUGCUAAGUGUUAGGGGGUUUCCGCCCCUUAGUGCUGCAGCUAACGCAUUAAGCACUCCGCCUGGGGAGUACGACCGCAAGGUUGAAACUCAAAGGAAUUGACGGGGACCCGCACAAGCGGUGGAGCAUGUGGU